rnacentral:rRNA from 1 species
CGAACGCUGGCGGCGCGUUUUAAGCAUGCAAGUCGAACGGUAGUAGAGUGCUUGCACUCUAUGAGAGUGGCGAACGGGUGAGUAACACGUAGGUGAUCUAUCUUUGGGGUCUGGGAUAGCCUGUGGAAACACAGGGUAAUACCGGAUACGACCUUUAGAUUUUGGUCUAGAGGGGAAAGUCGCUUAGGCGACGCCCUAAGCUGAGCCUGCGGCUGAUUAGCUAGUUGGUAGGGUAAUGGCCUACCAAGGCGACGAUGAGUAGCCGGCCUGAGAGGGUGAUCGGCCACACUGGGACUGAGACACGGCCCAGACUCCUACGGGAGGCAGCAGCUAAGAAUCUUCCGCAAUGGGGGAAACCCUGACGGAGCGACGCCGCGUGGACGAAGAAUGCCGGAAGGUUGUAAAGUCCUUUUCCUGGGGGAGAAUAAUGCAAGGAGGUAAUGCCUUGCAGAUGACGUGAACCAGGGAAUAAGCCCCGGCUAAUUAC